AGUGAACGCUGGCGGUAGGCCUAACACAUGCAAGUCGAACGGCAGCACAGUAAGAGCUUGCUCUUACGGGUGGCGAGUGGCGGACGGGUGAGGAAUACAUCGGAAUCUACUUUUUCGUGGGGGAUAACGUAGGGAAACUUACGCUAAUACCGCAUACGACCUACGGGUGAAAGCAGGGGAUCUUCGGACCUUGCGCGAUUGAAUGAGCCGAUGUCGGAUUAGCUAGUUGGCGGGGUAAAGGCCCACCAAGGCGACGAUCCGUAGCUGGUCUGAGAGGAUGAUCAGCCACACUGGAACUGAGACACGGUCCAGACUCCUACGGGAGGCAGCAGUGGGGAAUAUUGGACAAUGGGCGCAAGCCUGAUCCAGCCAUACCGCGUGGGUGAAGAAGGCCUUCGGGUUGUAAAGCCCUUUUGUUGGGAAAGAAAAGAAGCAGGUUAAUACCCCGCUGUUCUGACGGUACCCAAAGAGUAAGCACCGGCUAACUUCGUG
rnacentral:rRNA from 1 species